UUUUUUUUUUGUUAAUACUGUGCUUGUCACCAUUAAUAAUAUUUUUUCUCUUUUUAUAUGUAUAUGCAUCUCCUUCAUCUUUUUAGCUCAGUGCUUUUGCUUCAGCGUUUAAUCUUUGCCUAUUGAUCAAAUUUAUGUCUUCUUUGUGCAUCUUCGGUGACACUGCUAUUUUGGAUAAAGACAUUGCCUAGUCUUUAAAUGAUCAUGAAGUGUUAUCAGGAUAUAGUUUCCUGAUUGAUUCAUAGAUUGCACCAAUGGAGAAAUCCAGAAGCAAAAGUUGGGUUGGGAGCAUUUACCACAAGUUUGAGGUUGUGUGUCAGGAGGUCGAUGAAUUUGUAACUAAGGACACAGUUAAGUAUGUCGAGAAUCAGGUGCAAACUGUUGGUGCAAACAUGAAAAAGUUUUACUCUGGUGUGGUGCCAGAGUUUCUUAUCCCUGUGGACAGUCAUGUAAAAAAAGAAGCACAGGCUGUCAAUGAGAAGCCAAAGCACGCCAGUGACACUCAUACUAGUUCAGUGGCCAACACUACUCAGAACCCUAUCCAAGAGAAAUCAUGUCAGAAUCAGAAUUCCCUUGAAAGUCAUGCUGCUUCAACUUCAACUGAACUUGAUGGUGUAGCUUCUGAAGAAGCAGAAAUUGAUCUUUCUGUAGGAAAUGAGUGUGCCACUGCGAUUUGUAAGAACUCAUGUAAUGUUUUUAAAGAGAAUAUGACAAGGGAGGAAGCACUGGUAGUUGACAAACCAAGUACUUCAGAAGACAGAGUUUCAUCUGAAUCCUGUUCUGACAAAGAUUCGAAAGAUACCAUGUGCUAUAGCUUUUCAGAUGAUGGUAAGUGUUUUUCUGAUGUAUCAAGCUCUCAGAUUAUACGACAAGAUGAUAUGGUCGGGGAGGAACAACCACUUGCUAAGGGAUCAAGUUCAUUUUUGGAUAAUUUGUCUACAUCACAACUCACGGCCUCUAUUAAUGAAAAAAUGUUUGAUACUUCUCCUGAUGCUAUCAACUGUAUUUCUAAUGUAUCAAGUAGUCAAAUGGUUUUGCAACGGAACAUCACUAGGGAGGUGGAACCUGUCACUGAUCAAUCAAUUUCCUUUGGAGAUAUGGCUCUAUCAAAGUCAUUAUCAUUUUCAAUGGAGGAAAGUGAAGGAAAUCCCACCAUGACUAAGUUACAACGUCCAACUUCAGUUUAUGAUACAGAACUUAGGACCAACCCAGAGGAUGAGAGCAUUUCCAAUGCUUCAAUAACUCUGACGAAUUUGCAAGACAAUAUCAUCAGUGAGGAUCGACUUGCAUCCAAGGAAUCAAGUUUUGUCAAAGAUAAAAGUUUGCCACUAACCCCAGCAUUUGCAUCUGUUAUACCUCCUUCACGAAAUGAUGCAGGAUUUGGGGCGUCCAUUGCCGCGAGUAAGAGUUUUUUGGGUGAUGUUACUUUUGUAUCUGAAGAGUCUAGUACAACCUUGGCAUUAGAAGAUGCUCCAAGCGCACUUCAGUCAUCUGAACUUGUACUUUCUCGUGUUAUGGAGAACAAAAGUAUGGAUGUUGACACUGGAAUAUCAAACUGUUCUCUGUUAAAAGAAUCUUCAAGCCUGUCAACUUCCUCAAUUGGAAACUGUAUGCAGGAAGCCGAGUCUGAUUUAAGUAUCUUCACUGGCCACUCAUCUGCCUUGCCUACUUCCUUAGUGAGUGCAAACAAUGUUGUUUCUGCCAAUCCAGUUCUCUCAAGUACUCUGUUGACAGAUUUCAGUGAAGUAAAUGCCUCUAGUUCUCACGAGUUGGUUGGAAAUGGUAGGUCCGUUCAAAAUGACCUCGAGUGUUGUCCAAGCCCUCAGCUGAUAUAUCCCGCAGAAAUAGUAUACCGAAAUGAAUAUUGUUGGAUCAGCUGUAUCUCUGCGAGUAUAAGACUUAUGGAAGAAUAAAAGGGUUGUGGGAUUUCACUAGAGGAACCUCUGUGGAUGUAUGAAUGAUAGCUCCAUUGAUCUUCCGGGCAUGGAAACAAUUGAUCUAACUGAUAAGGAAUUGCCCAAGGAAAGUUGUGCCUUCAUUGACUACAAAUUACACCAUCUCGUUUCUUCUAGGCCAAGAAAAUAUAAGUCGUACAAGGAAUUGAUACAGGAGGCAUUUGCUCCUCGAAAGAGAAGAAUAAAGGAAUACGAGCAAUUGGCUGUUUUGUAUGCAGACGUGGAUGCUGAAACGAGCCAGCACGUUGAGCUCUCUCAAUUACCUUCUCUUCCUUCACCAUGUUUACACUCAACGGAAUCGUCCACAUGCAACAUCUGUGAACCUGAGUGGGAGCUCCUGUAAAUGAGCCUUUUUUCCUGUGAAAACAACCCCAUGAUAAUAAUUUCUGCUGAGAAGUCUCUCUUUGUAAAGGUUCCGCUAUAACGGUUAGCAUAAUUGAGCUAAUCAUUAGUCCUACUGUGAGAUUAAUGGUAGAAACUACAUCUUAUUUUUCCCUUUCAUAUAAUAAGAUAACAAUUUUUGAUAAAUAUUUUGAUCUCUUUUGUUCACUUGUGACAUUGUCUCAGCAUUAAGGUUUUGGAGACAUGAUCAAAGAGCCCAGCUGGUUUUGAGUGUUAUUUCUUGAUUCUAAGCAAUGUACCCAAAUUUCUAAUGUCAAUCUAUAUGCAGUGGUUGUUUUGUUCUC